CACCGCGACAAUUUCUUGCUUCACGACGAAAUUUUUCAUCCACUGAAUGUGCUUUCUUUUCUUAAUGUUUACAGUAAAUCUUCCUCUAACGCGGUUUCCAUAUUGCGCGUAACAAAAUGGCGACAACCUUUCUAUAACAAGGAAGUCUUCCCCUAACGCGGUUUCCAUAUUGCGCGUAAUAAAAUGGCAACAACCUUUCUAUAACACAAACAAAUUUUUCAUGAACGUACCGGCAGUCCUCAUUGUGUUCGUUUCCCUGCUGAGAAGAGGAAACGUGAUUCCCCGAGGACGAUGUUGGAGGGUACUCCUCGUUGGACGAGUAAAGUAACUGAUGAAGACUGGCUGCCGUU